rnacentral:ncRNA from 1 species
UUAAAGUUUUAUUCUGGCUUAAAUUCUCAAUUUUAGAUUGAAGCACAUGUAAAUUUUAAUGCGACUAUAAGCCCUGUAAAUCUUAAAGGGAAGGGGGCCCACGUUUUAUGAAGCCGUCUAAUAAUAAAUAAAAUCUCAGUGUUUAGUGCUAAUUAAAAUGAAUGCAAGUUCGAAUUGGCUAUUGUAAUAUACUAUGACCGGUUAAAAUUUGUGCCAGCAGCCGCGGUUAGACUGAGGGUUAGACUGAGAAAGUUUUGGUUAAAAGUAAUUAAAUGUAAACGCUGCUGAACUAAAGAAUUUAUAUUAAUAAAAGGUGAAAUUAAAUUUUUAAUUAUUAAAUUGUUUAAUAACGCUUAGUAGAAGUAUUGAAGUUACCAAGAUAAGGAUAUAAACUAGGAUUAGAUACCCUACUAUACCUUAUUUUAAAUUAAGUGACCUGGGUAAUAAACAGUUAUAAUCUCGAAACUCAAAGAAUUUGGCGGUAGCUUAGUCUACUUAGAGGAACCUGUCCUAUAAACGACAAACCACGAACAAUCUUACCUUGUUUUGUAAAAAAACAGUUUGUAUACCGUCAUUAUCAGAUAACUUUAUUAAAAUAUUAGUUAUUAUAAUAAAAUGUUUUUAAAAUAUUAGAUCAAGGUGCAGCUAAUAACAAGGCAGAGAUGGGUUACAAUAAAUGAAAAUUAUGACGAAUUAAAAAUUAAAAAAUUUUUUUAAAGGAGGAUUUAAAUGUAAAAGGAUUUUAAUAAGUUGCUUUGAUUUUUAGCUCUAAGCUAUGUACACAUCGCCCGUCGCUCUCGUUAAUUAAAGCGAGAUAAGUCGUAACAUAGUAGGUGUACUGGAAAGUGCCCCUAGAUGGCA